rnacentral:rRNA from 1 species
CCUACGGGUGGCAGCAGUGGGGAAUAUUGCACAAUGGGCGCAAGCCUGAUGCAGCCAUGCCGCGUGUAUGAAGAAGGCCUUCGGGUUGUAAAGUACUUUCAGCGGGGAGGAAGGUGUUGUGGUUAAUAACCGCAGCAAUUGACGUUACCUGCAGAAGAAGCACCGGCUAACUCCGUGCCAGCAGCCGCGGUAAUACGGAGGGUGCAAGCGUUAAUCGGAAUUACUGGGCGUAAAGCGCACGCAGGCGGUCUGUCAAGUUGGAUGUGAAAGCCCCGGGCUCAACCUGGGGACUGCAUUCGAAACUGGGAGGCUAGAGUCUUGUAGAGGGGGGUAGAAUUCCAGGUGUAGCGGUGAAAUGCGUAGAGAUCUGGAGGAAUACCGGUGGCGAAGGCGGCCCCCUGGACAAAGACUGACGCUCAGGUGCGAAAGCGUGGGGAGCAAACAGGAUUAGAUACCCCAGUAGUC